GAAGAGAUUUGAGUAUUGAAAGCUGUGAUAAUCUUAGUGUCCCUUGCUAGAGAAAACUUUGGCCUCAGUAGCCUGCCUCUACCUGAAGGCUGCUGGCAUUGAGGUGGGUCACAUGUUG
rnacentral:snoRNA from 1 species